rnacentral:lncRNA from 10 species
CCCGCUGAGCGAGGGCCCUCAUGAGAAGGGAAGGUCGCGUGGACAGGCUGCCAGGGGCAAGCGUUUUUAGAUUACUUCCUCCUUCUUGGCCCCAGAUGCACUUGGUUGCACGCUCUGGUUCCCAAACCCCCGGCCGCUGGCUUAUGCAAAUCACUUAGGUACAUGCAAAAGUAUCCCUUCUCCCGGAGCGCCAUUGGCCCGGGGAGGUCUCGAGCUCAUUACUAUGCAGAGAGGAGAGCCGCCAUUGGCCAAGAGGAGGACCAGAGGGGCGUGUUUCUCGGGCGAAUUGGAUCUCCUAAAUUGGAUGACCUGGUAAGUAGAACUUCCCUCCAGCGUUCAGUUAAGUUUUAAAUGACUCUCCGCUGUUCCAAAGGGCGAGGACGUCUGGAGCUCUGCAAACGGAAAAAAGAUUUUGAAGAGGAGGAAAAAAGUUUCCCUCGAUCUGACACACAUCUUUGGGUUUUAGCUAUACACUAAGUUAAAAGUGUACCCUCUCCAGUGCCUCACUUCACCUGGGAUCUUUACACCUAUCUUGAUACACAUUUGGUAGCUAAGUCUUAGCAAUUCAUUCUCCCCAGUCCUCUCUCUGUAUUUGGUGUUUUUGGUGACUGCAAAUUAGACUCCUUUCUCACGCACUUUAAAAUCCUGAAACACAGGAAUUUUGUAAAAGGUCAGAGAAAGUGAUGUUUCUGAACACUGGACAAUUUCCAAAACAUCUGAGUGGGAGGUGACUACGGCUGAGAAGCCAGCAGCAACGUUGGUGUUAGGGCUGAAAGACAACUUAAAGACCCCCAGAAAACUCUGGUUUUAUAGAUAAGAAAUCUGAGGCUCGAGAGAGAGUGUGUUCUGCCCAACAUCAUCACGGAACAGCUCCUGGGCUCCUGGCUCCUAAUCUGGGCACACAGGACUUGUUGACUGAUGGAUAAGCUGGACUUCGGUUCUACCACCCCUUUACCCAAGAACUCUUGUAAACAUAGAACCUGAACAAGUAUAUGCAGAGGCCCUACCUGUUGGGUGAACGGUUCAAGGUGCCCUGUUACAACAACAGCUCAGAUACAGUGGGGGCUCUGAGUGCUGUAAUGAUUGACUGGAUAAAAGUCCUCAAACAUGUAGAAUUUCACUUUUUAUGAACUAUUUCGACUUAGAAAAAGAGUUAACAGCAAUCAGCUUAAGAAAUAUUACGAAUGUAGUUGAAGCUCCCUUUGUACCACUCCCCAAUCAUAUUCCUUUUCUUCCUCUCCCUGAGAAGUAAGCAGUUUCCUAAACUUUGUAGUUAAUUCCCAUGCAUAUUUUCAUGCUUUUCGUAUGCAUGUAUCCCUAAACAAUAAACAGCAUUGUUUUUCAUAUAUACUAAUGUUAAAACAUACUUCGUGAUCUGUAGAACGUAAGAGAAAAUUUAGAAAAUGUUUGAUAUGAAAGAGAAAAUGAAGGAUGUUGCGAUAAUAGGGAAAAACUUUAUAGUAAUUCUACCAAUUUGCCCCUUUUAUUCUAAAAUAACACAAACUUGUCAAGCUUUUCAACAUUUUUUGAAUUUUUUUUUUUUUUUUUUGAGAUGGAGUUUCACUCUGUUGCCCAG